rnacentral:rRNA from 1 species
UUGACCUCGGAUCAGGUAGGAAUACCCGCUGAACUUAAGCAUAUCAAUAAGCGGAGGAAAAGAAACCAACAGGGAUUGCCCUAGUAACGGCGAGUGAAGCGGCAACAGCUCAAAUUUGAAAUCUGGCCCCCGGGUCCGAGUUGUAAUUUGUAGAGGAUGCUUUUGGUGCGGUACCUUCCGAGUUCCCUGGAACGGGACGCCAUAGAGGGUGAGAGCCCCGUCUGGUUGGACGCCAAUCCUUUGUAAAGCUCCUUCGACGAGUCGAGUAGUUUGGGAAUGCUGCUCUAAAUGGGAGGUAUAUGUCUUCUAAAGCUAAAU